rnacentral:rRNA from 1 species
GUGGGGAAUUUUGGACAAUGGGCGCAAGCCUGAUCCAGCAAUGCCGCGUGCAGGAAGAAGGCCUUCGGGUUGUAAACUGCUUUUGUACGGAACGAAACGGUCCUGGUUAAUACCUGGGGCUAAUGACGGUACCGUAAGAAUAAGCACCGGCUAACUACGUGCCAGCAGCCGCGGUAAUACGGAGGGUGCGAGCGUUAAUCGGAAUUACUGGGCGUAAAGCGUGCGCAGGCGGUGCUGUAAGACAGGCGUGAAAUCCCCGGGCUCAACCUGGGAAUUGCGCUUGUGACUGCAGUGCUGGAGUACGGCAGAGGGGGAUGGAAUUCCGCGUGUAGCAGGGAAAUGCGUAGAUAUGCGGAGGAACACCGAUGGCGAAGGCAGUCCCCUGGGCCUGUACUGACGCUCAUGCACGAAAGCGUGGGGAGCAAACAGGAUUAGAUACCCUGGUAGUCC